AAGCAUGAGCAUGAGAGGGGCAGAGAGAGGGGGAGACACAGAAUCCGAAGCAGGCUCCGGGCUCCAAGCUGUCAGCACAGAGCCCAAUGCGGGGCUCAAAGCCACAAACCAGGAGAUCAUGACCUGAGCCGAAGUCAACGCUCAACCGACUGAGCCACCCAGGAACCCCCAGGUUUUGCUCUUCUCAUGAAACAAGUUGGGGACUGUUACCCCUUUUUCUAUUAUCUGGAGGAGUUUGUAUAACAUUUUUCUUCUGUUCCCUGCGCAUGUGGUGAAAACUGCCAAUAUAGCCAUCUGUGCUUAGA